GCCAGCAUGGUGUAGUGGUUUGAGUGUUGGACUAGGACACUAAGAGGCCAGGGUUUGAAUCCCUGCUCUGUCA